UACGGGGGGGGCAAGCGUUGUCCGGAAUCACUGGGCGUAAAGGGCGCGUAGGCGGCCUGGUAAGUAGGGGGUGAAAUCCUGCGGCUUAACCGCAGGGCUGCCUUCUAAACUGUCAGGCUUGAGCACGGUAGAGGCAGAUGGAAUUCCCGGUGUAGCGGUGGAAUGCGUAGAGAUCGGGAAGAACAUCAGUGGCGAAGGCGACAUCCUGGACCGGUAUUGACGCUGAGGCGCGAAAGCCAGGGGAGCAAACGGG
rnacentral:rRNA from 1 species